GAUGAAGAACGUAGCGAAAUGCGAUACUUGGUGUGAAUUGCAGAAUCCCGUGAACCAUCGAGUCUUUGAACGCAAGUUGCGCCCGAAGCCAUUAGGCCGAGGGCACGCCUGCCUGGGUGUCACACACCGUUACCCUCGCGCCAACGUCCAUCGUUGGCCGCGGCGCGGGGCGUGCGCUGACCUCCCGCGAGCGGGGUCUCGUGGUUGGUUGAAAAUCGAGUUCGCGGUCGAGGGUGCCGUGAUGAAAUGGUGGAUGGGCGACGCCCGAGGCCAAUCACGCGCGACUCUGUCCGUCUCGGACUCCUGGACCCCUUCGGCGUCUCCGGACGCUCUUUGGCGAGACCUCAGGUCAGGCGGGGCUACCCGCUGAGUUUAAGCAUAUCAAUAAGCGGAGGA
rnacentral:misc_RNA from 1 species